CCCUUAGAUGUCCUGGGCCGCACGCGCGUUACACUGAUGCAUUCAACGAGCUUAUAACCUUGGCCGAGAGGCCUGGGCAAUCUUGUUAACGUGCAUCGUGAUAGGGAUAGAUUAUUGAAAUUAUUAAUCUUCAACGAGGAAUUCCUAGUAAACGCAGAUCAUCAAUCUGCAUUGAUUACGUCCCUGCCCUUUGUACACACCGCCCGUCGCACCUACCGAUUGGAUGGUCCGGUGAAGCCUCGGGAUUGUGGUUCUUGCCGCUUUAUUGUGGCGUGACCGCGAGAACUUGUCUAAACCUUAUCAUCUAGAGGAAGGUGAAGUCGUAACA
rnacentral:rRNA from 1 species